UACGGAGGGUGCAAACGUUGCUCGGAAUCAUUGGGCGUAAAGCGCACGUAGGCGGACUGUUAAGUCGGAUGUGAAAUCCCUCAGCUUAACUGAGGAAGUGCACUCGAAACUGGCAGUCUUGAGUAUGGAAGAGGGUCGCGGAAUUCCCGGUGUAGAGGUGGAAUUCGUAGAUAUCGGGAGGAACACCGGUGGCGAAGGCGGCGACCUGGGUCGAUACUGACGCUGAUGCGCGAAAGCGUGGGGAGCAAACAGG
rnacentral:rRNA from 1 species